rnacentral:rRNA from 1 species
GACGAACGCUGGCGGCGUGCUUAACACAUGCAAGUCGAACGGAAAGGCCCUGCUUUUGUGGGGUGCUCGAGUGGCGAACGGGUGAGUAACACGUGAGUAACCUGCCCUUGACUUUGGGAUAACUUCAGGAAACUGGGGCUAAUACCGGAUAGGAGCUCCUGCUGCAUGGUGGGGGUUGGAAAGUUUCGGCGGUUGGGGAUGGACUCGCGGCUUAUCAGCUUGUUGGUGGGGUAGUGGCUUACCAAGGCUUUGACGGGUAGCCGGCCUGAGAGGGUGACCGGCCACAUUGGGACUGAGGUACGGCCCAGAGUGCGACGGGAGGCAGCGGUGGGGAAUAUUGCACAAUGGGCGGAAGCCUGAUGCAGCAACGCCGCGUGCGGGAUGACGGCCUUCGGGUUGUAAACCGCUUUCGCCUGUGACGAAGCGUGAGUGACGGUAAUGGGUAAAGAAGCACCGGCUAACUACGUG